CCGCUGGGGGUGCUGGACGGUUUCCGUCCGGCUGAGAUUAACCUUUGAACCUGUCUGGGUAAUGCCUGCGUAGGGAAGCGGUGA
rnacentral:ncRNA from 1 species